rnacentral:rRNA from 1 species
UACGUAGGGGGCAAGCGUUGUCCGGAAUCAUUGGGCGUAAAGCGCGCGUAGGCGGCCCGGCAAGUCCGUUGUGAAAGUCAAAGGCUCAACCUUUGAACGCCGAUGGAUACUGCCGGGCUAGAGUCCGGAAGAGGCGAGUGGAAUUCCUGGUGUAGCGGUGGAAUGCGUAGAUAUCGGGAGGAACACCUGAGGCGAAGGCGGGCUACUGGGCCGAUACUGACGCUGAGGCGCGAAAGCGUGGGGAGCAAACAGG